GAUGAACGCUGGCGGCGUGCCUAAUACAUGCAAGUCGAGCGAACAGAUAAGGAGCUUGCUCCUUUGACGUUAGCGGCGGACGGGUGAGUAACACGUGGGUAACCUACCUAUAAGACUGGGAUAACUUCGGGAAACCGGAGCUAAUACCGGAUAAUAUUUCGAACCGCAUGGUUCGAUAGUGAAAGAUGGUUUUGCUAUCACUUAUAGAUGGACCCGCGCCGUAUUAGCUAGUUGGUAAGGUAACGGCUUACCAAGGCGACGAUACGUAGCCGACCUGAGAGGGUGAUCGGCCACACUGGAACUGAGACACGGUCCAGACUCCUACGGGAGGCAGCAGUAGGGAAUCUUCCGCAAUGGGCGAAAGCCUGACGGAGCAACGCCGCGUGAGUGAUGAAGGUCUUCGGAUCGUAAAACUCUGUUAUUAGGGAAGAACAUACGUGUAAGUAACUGUGCACGUCUUGACGGUACCUAAUCAGAAAGCCACGGCUAACUACGUGCCAGCAGCCGCGGUAAUACGUAGGUGGCAAGCGUUAUCCGGAAUUAUUGGGCGUAAAGCGCGCGUAGGCGGUUUUUUAAGUCUGAUGUGAAAGCCCACGGCUCAACCGUGGAGGGUCAUUGGAAACUGGAAAACUUGAGUGCAGAAGAGGAAAGUGGAAUUCCAUGUGUAGCGGUGAAAUGCGCAGAGAUAUGGAGGAACACCAGUGGCGAAGGCGACUUUCUGGUCUGUAACUGACGCUGAUGUGCGAAAGCGUGGGGAUCAAACAGGAUUAGAUACCCUGGUAGUCCACGCCGUAAACGAUGAGUGCUAAGUGUUAGGGGGUUUCCGCCCCUUAGUGCUGCAGCUAACGCAUUAAGCACUCCGCCUGGGGAGUACGACCGCAAGGUUGAAACUCAAAGGAAUUGACGGGGGCCCGCACAAGCGGUGGAGCAUGUGGUUUAAUUCGAAGCAACGCGAAGAACCUUACCAAAUCUUGACAUCCUUUGACAACUCUAGAGAUAGAGCUUUCCCCUUCGGGGGACAAAGUGACAGGUGGUGCAUGGUUGUCGUCAGCUCGUGUCGUGAGAUGUUGGGUUAAGUCCCGCAACGAGCGCAACCCUUAAGCUUAGUUGCCAUCAUUAAGUUGGGCACUCUAAGUUGACUGCCGGUGACAAACCGGAGGAAGGUGGGGAUGACGUCAAAUCAUCAUGCCCCUUAUGAUUUGGGCUACACACGUGCUACAAUGGACAAUACAAAGGGCAGCGAAACCGCGAGGUCAAGCAAAUCCCAUAAAGUUGUUCUCAGUUCGGAUUGUAGUCUGCAACUCGACUACAUGAAGCUGGAAUCGCUAGUAAUCGUAGAUCAGCAUGCUACGGUGAAUACGUUCCCGGGUCU
rnacentral:rRNA from 1 species